rnacentral:rRNA from 1 species
CCCCAUAGUCUGGGAUACCACUUGGAAACAGGUGGCUAAUACCGGAUAAGAAAGCGGAUCGCAUGAUCAGCUUUUAAAAGGCGGCGUAAGCUGUCGCUAUGGGAUGGCCCCGCGGUGCAUUAGCUAGUUGGUAAGGUAAAGGCUUACCAAGGCGAUGAUGCAUAGCCGAGUUGAGAGACUGAUCGGCCACAUUGGGACUGAGACACGGCCCAAACUCCUACGGGAGGCAGCAGAC